AUGGCGGAGAAGAUGCAGAUGGAGGCCGCGUGCAGGGAAGACGAGGCAGAGGACAGGGAGUAUUUCACCGAUCUCAUCAAAGACAUGGAGGAGAAAGAGACGGUUACAAAGGAGAUGCCGCAGCUUAUUAUUGUCAAGUACCAUGGCUGCUUCCCAUCGGCGAGUCCGUGCCGUGGUCCGACUACAGCGCCUAAGUAUCACCGUCGCAAUGCCGAUGCGGUUAGCAGCAUGGCUGCUCUCGCUCAGACAUGCCUCGUCAACGAGGAGCAGCUUGUGUCGGAGCGGAAGAUCCGGGUGAAACCUGAAACCUUGCAAAUGAAGAAAUUAACCCUUCUGAGCUGCCUGAUCCACGAGCGUGCACGUUCAGUCAUCCGCACAGCCGGUCGCGGCUUCGCUGAGGCUGGGCCACCUCCAUGCCCUAGGCCUAGGGAGGUGCCGGCCAGCGCCUUCUGGCUCCCUCGAAGCCUCUCCCUCGCCCAUCCCUCGCGCGCCGCCUCCCCUGCUUCGGGCUCGUCUCGCCCCGAUCCCCCGCCCCCUUCUGCUCCCGCCCUCGCCCCGCAUCCACCUCUCGCCGCGCCUCCCCCCUCGUCUGGCCGUCCGGCGGCUUCUCUGACGCCGGUAGCCCGCCUCGCCCUGCCCCCUCCCGCCCGGUUGCGGCUCGCCAUGCCGCGCGACCAGGCGGACCUGGCUCCCCGGGCGAAGCGCAAGGCGGGGGGUGAUUCCCGCGACUCGUCCUGGCCCUCCCCCGACUCCCUCCGACGGGAGGAGGAGCUCCGGCGCGAGCUCCGGGAGCUCCGGGACAGCCGCCGCUCCCCCUCCCGUCGGGAUGACCGGGCCCGGUCACGCUCGCCCCGAGCGUCGUCGGGCAACUGGCGCCGCCAGCGCUCCCCCUCGCCCUCCCGUCGUAGGGACCGGUCCCCCUCCCCCGCCCGUCCGGUUCGUGAUGGCAUCCUCCCUACUCCGGACACCCGCCGCUACGUCCCGCCUCACGCUGCCUCGGGGUCCUCGGCCCCGGGUCCGACCUCUGGGGGCGCUCCCGCCCGCGGCCGCCCUGGCCCCGCCAAGAAGAAGAAGCGUCGGGGUGCCCGACCCACUCCGACCAUCCCUCCAUCCUCGGGUCCGGGGGCCCCCUCCGCUCCGGGCCCCGUCUCCGGUCUUCCUCGCCCCCCUUGCUUCAACUGUGGGGUGAGGGGGCACUCCCAGGUUGCCUGUGUCAACCCCCAGUGCUGCUACCUCUGCAAGGAUCCGGGCCACCCCGCCAUUCUGUGUCCGGACAGACCGGUGGUGUCCGAGCUCAUGAUGUAUGGCCACGGCAUCGAGGGGUUGGGCUUCUUCCACCUUGAGGUCCCGGAUGCCCCUCCGCCUUCGCCUCAGGCGAUCGUCACGGUCGUUGACGGGGUGGCCUCCCCGGAGAUGAUCGAGGCCGAGCUCAACCACCUCUACCGUUGUCAGUGGGACUGGGUGGUUACCCCCACCGCCAGCCACAUCUUCUCCGUCGUCUUCCCCGACUCCGUCAGCUACGGCUACGGCACGCGUAGUGGCCGGAUCACCCUCGCCCUCAACCAGCUGGUGGUUGAGAUCUCCGAGCCUGUUCUCGACGCCCAGGCCGUGGCCGUCCUCGACACCGCUUGGAUCCUCAUCUCCGGUCUCCUUGACAUCGUGCGGUCAGAGCUUGUCAUCCGCCAGAUGUCUCGCCUCUUGGGCAAGGUGGUGGUGGUUGAUGAGCUCUCACCGCGCAAGGAGGAGGAGGUCAGGGUCAAGGUCAAGUGUCUCGACUCCACCAGGCUGCACACCUCGGUCCGGGUCUUCUUCAACGACCAGGGCUUCGACCUCAGGAUCGCCCCCGAGCCGCCCAACCACGUUGGACGCCCCCGCUCCCUCGACGUCGGUCCCCCAGACGACUUCCGGGGGGCCGGCGGAGACUACCACGGCCACGGCCCCCCGCCCUUCGGGGGCCGAGCUGGUGAUCCGGGGUCGCACCCGCUCCCGCACGGCGGCCCUCCGCGCUCUCAGCGCAUCUCGUGUCUUGGGGUCAAGCAGCCCCCCAAUGGCUCCUUGAUGCGUGCCCUAUUCUGGAACAUCCGCGGCUUCGGCCAUGAUGGCCGACGCCGCCAGUUAGUGGAGUACUUGCGAGUUGAACGCAUCGACCUAGUGGCCGUGCAGGAGACCAUGCGCCGGGACUUUGCGCUCCCUGAGCUCGACCGGCUGAGCUCUCACCUAUUUGCGUGGCACUGGCUCCCUUCUAGUGGGAGUGCAGGCCACUCGGGUGGCAUCCUCCUAGGCGUGAAGGAUGCCACCUUUGAGGUGGGCAACAUGGACCGGGGCGAAUUCUUCAUCAGCAUGGAGGUCUUUGAGAGAUCUCUCAAUUUCAAAUGGGAGAUCAUCAUCGUCUAUGGUCCGGCUGACCAUAACAAGAACAAUGGCAAUGUUAGUUUUGCCCGGAUGGACAUGUUUAACGACUUCAUUGCCGACCUCGCCCUCAGGGAGCUUGAUCGGGUUGGGGCUCGUUUUACUUGGACCAACCGCCAAGCCUCCCCGACCCUCUCCGUCUUGGACAGGGUCCUAGUUUCCCCCGAGUGGGACCUCCGGUGCCCCUUAGCCUCUCUUCGUGCCGUCACCCGGAUUGGGUCUGACCACGUUCCCCUGCUUCUCUCCUCCGCGGAUGAGCGCCCCCCGAUUCCCCCUCGGUUCUGUUUUGAGGCUUUCUGGCUCUCCCAGGCCGGAUUCUCCGACGCCGUCAGUGCUCGUUGGAUCGAGGCUCGUGGCCAUCCCCACCCCCGCCCCCCUUCCGCCAUAGAUGCGUGGCACUUCUGUGCGAAGCGUGCCCGACAAUUUAUGAAGGGGUGGGGAGCCAACCUGGGAAGAGACUCCAGGGAACGGAAGAAGGCUCUCCUGUCGGCGAUCCAGGCCCUCGACUUCAGGGCUGAUGCGAUCGGUCUCUCUCCUGACGAGUGGAUGUCCCGUUAUGACCUCGAGGACCAGCUCUCCGUGAUUUACUCUGAUGAGGAGGCUUAUUGGCGCAUUUGGGGCGCCCAGCGUUGGGUCUUGAAGGGGGAUGCGAAUACGGCCUACUUCCAGGCGAUCGCAAAUGGGCGCCGUAGACGCAACACCAUCUCCUGCCUUUGGGAGGGAGCCACUCUCCUUCAGGAUCCCCGCGAUAUCCGCGCCCAUGUUGAUGGCUUCUAUCGCUCCCUCUUCUCCCCCGCUCCUCGGAGCGGCCUCUCUCUUGCCUUUGACUGCUGGACCGGCGACCGUCUAGUCUCUGACAAAGACAAUGCCACCUUGACGGCCCCCUUCUCUGAACAAGAGGUCUGGGAGGCUAUCAAGGGUAUGAAUCCCUCCUCGGCGCCGGGCCCGGACGGCCUCCCGGUUCUCUUCUUCCAAACCUUCUGGAGCGUGGAGAUCGCCAAAAUCCAGUCCCGCUUCUAUUGGGCUGGGGAGCACGGCAAGCAGAAGUAUCACAUGGUCAGCUGGCCUGACAUCUGCAAGCCGAGGGAGCAGGGGGGUUUGGGGAUCAUGUGCUCCAAACGGAUGAAUAUUGCCCUCCUCUCCCGAUGGCUGUGGCGCAUCUCGCAGGGCCACGGGGGCCUCUGGCUGGACAUUAUCCGGAAUAAAUACCUGCGCGGCCAACCCCUUGCCUUCUGCCAGAAGUCGGGUGGCUCUCAGUUCUGGCAGUCCCUUGUCCAGCUCCUCCCUGUGCUCCGCAUUGGUACCUCUAUCUCGGUAGGAUCUGGCCGUUCGAUGUUAUUCUGGUAUGACCGUUGGGCCGGUGACGCCCCCUUUGCGGCUCGCUUCCUCAUUCUCUUUGCUAUCUCUGUCGACCCCAUGAUCUCUGUUGAUAGGGCCCUAUUUGACUUAGGGCGCCUCGCUUUCCGUCGGCCAUUUGGGCCUGCGGAAUCCGCCGCCUGGCGUGAGCUUCUUGAGUGCGUCGCUCUUCAUGAGCCGCUGGUUGACGGCGUCCAAGACCGUGUUCGAUGGCAUUUGGAGCCGUCUGGCCAGUUCUCUACCAAAUCGCUCUAUGCGGCCAUUGCCCCCUCCGCCGCCCCUCCCCCCCUCUCAAUGGUUUGGUCCGUCCGCCUCCCUCUGAAGAUCCGUAUCUUCAUGUGGCAGUGGAUCCGGGGACGGAUCCCCUCCGGUGUGGAGGUCCGCAAGCGUAAUGGCCCGGGUUCUGGUCUCUGCCCCCUCUGUGCCGUCCCCGAGGACUCUAACCACAUCUUCUUCGCUUGCACCUCUGCCCAGUUCCUCUGGAGCUGUUUUCGCGAGCUUGUCGGCGGAAAUUGGACUCACACCAACUUCCCCGACCUUUUUGCUGAACUCCAAGCGUCCCCCCCGUCCUCCCGCCACAUUAGGUGGCUGGAGGUUGGGACCCUAUCCUGGACUCUUUGGACUGUUCGUAAUAAGCUUGUGAUUGAGCGCACUCCGCUUCGUCGUGCUACUGACGCUCUCUACAAAUUCUCGGGUUUCCUGCAGCUUUGGCGGCCGCUUAGCCGUCUCCUGGAGCGCGACGCCAUCUCCGCCUUCAUCGCCGACCUCCGCUCGAUGGCCGUCCGCCUGUCGCCGCCGCCGCCGCCCCCUCCGCCGGAGCCUGACUAGGGCAGCGGGAUUUCUGAUGUGUUGAAUUCUUGGUGUAAGGAAAACAUUAAAGGUGGUGAAGAGAGUGAGCAAAGGAAAGAAGAAGGUCUUUUUGAGAAACUAUGGGGGUGGGAAAGGCUGCUACUACUGCUCGAUUCCGUUAAGUGGUCAUACUAUAGCAGCUACCUGGAGGAGUACUACAAACGCAAUGCUUAUGAGUUUGUAGCCGAUGAUGCUGCUACCAGCCAAACUCCCGGGGAUUUACAAAUCGCCGCUGCUGCUGACAUGGGUGCUGCUGCUGUUGCCAAAUUGGCAAGGGGUGAAUUGUGCGUUCCUACUGCCGUUGCUCUUGUGUGUAUCACCAGUGAGGCUGACCUGAUGUGUGAGCUGCUGAAGCAUGGCGCGAAGCCUUUUGACGACAUGAUCCAGCAUAGCAGCGUGAUCCACACGUGCGCCUUGGGCCUUGCGAACAACCUCAGAGGACACCAGUCUAUUGCCCCCGCCGCUGCAAUGGUGGGUAUGGCAAAGGAGGCCAAGAAGUUGUGCGAUUGUAUCAAGAGAAAGAAGAAGCUCGUCACCUUCGGCCUGUGCGAGCCUCGUGGGCUCGAGGAGUGCCGCUUGAUCCGGAUGAAAGCCUUGGAUGUUAUGACCAGCAUACUGCAGGAGUCUUCCUUUCCUUCUUCCAAGAUGCGGGAUGACGACGCAAUUGCAUAUGACUAA
rnacentral:rRNA from 1 species